rnacentral:rRNA from 1 species
CCGAUCCUACGGGGGGCAGCAGUGGGGAAUAUUGCACAAUGGGGGAAACCCUGAUGCAGCAACGCCGCGUGAGUGAAGAAGUAUUUCGGUAUGUAGAGCUCUAUCAGCAGGGAAGAAGAAAGACGGUACCUGACUAAGAAGCCCCGGCUAACUACGUGCCAGCAGCCGCGGUAAUACGUAGGGGGCAAGCGUUAUCCGGAUUUACUGGGUGUAAAGGGAGCGUAGGCGGUUUAGCAAGUCAGAAGUGAAAGCCCGGGGCUCAACUCCGGGACUGCUUUUGAAACUGUUGAACUAGAUUGCAGGAG